rnacentral:misc_RNA from 1 species
UCCGGCUUGUCGCCGGCGGUCCCUCUAGAGUGCCCAACUGAAGAGCUCCAUCUCUGGUGCUCGCGACCGGGAUGUCAAAGGCUGGUAAGGUUCUGCGCGUUGCUUCGAAUUGAACCACAUGCUCCACCGCUUGUGCGGGCCCCCGUCAAUUCCUUUGAGUUUUAAUCUUGCGACCGUACUCCCCAGGCGGGAUGCUUAAUGCGUUAGCUGCGCCACUGAAGGGUAAACCCACCAACGGCUAGCAUCCAUCGUUUACGGCGUGGACUAC